rnacentral:tRNA from 1 species
GGACGUGUAGCGCGUAAGUGGAAGCGCCCCGGUCUGUAAAACCGGAGCCCCCAGGGGCCUUGAGAGGUUCGAUUCCCUCCACGUCCACCA